ensembl:snRNA U6 U6 spliceosomal RNA
GUGCUCGCUUCAGCAGCAUAUAUACUAAAAUUGGAAUGAUACAGAGAUUAGCAUGGUUCCUGCACAAGGAUGACACCCAAAUUUGUGAAGCGUUCCAUAUUUUU